AAGACGGCGGCUUACGGUCACUUCGGAAGGGACGACCCAGACUUCACCUGGGAGGUGGUGAAGCCCCUCAAGUGGGAGAAGCCUUCUGCCUAAAAGCUCCCUUUCGGAGGCUUUUGCUCUGUCCCAUUAUGGUGUUUUGUUUCCUCGCUGCUCAGCAUUGUGAUUCUUAACCUGCCCCCCGCUGCCAUUUAUGCCCAUGCACGCUACUUUCCUAAUAAUAAGUACUUAUAAGGGUAUUGUGUUUGAAUAUUUUACCUAG
rnacentral:misc_RNA from 1 species